rnacentral:rRNA from 1 species
UACGAAGGGGGCUAGCGUUGCUCGGAAUUACUGGGCGUAAAGCGCACGUAGGCGGAUUGCUAAGUCAGGGGUGAAAUCCUGGAGCUCAACUCCAGAACUGCCUUUGAUACUGGCGAUCUCGAGUGCGGGAGAGGUGAGUGGAAUUCCCAGUGUAGAGGUGAAAUUCGUAGAUAUUGGGAAGAACACCAGUGGCGAAGGCGGCUCACUGGCCCGUAACUGACGCUGAGGUGCGAAAGCGUGGGGAGCAAACAGG